CAUCUCUAUUAAAAAGCUGAUCUCCAUAUUCAUGUAUAUAUGUACACAGAUAUGUAUAUUUCAUAUAAAUGCAUUUCAACAUAGGACCCUCUCGUAAGACGACACAACUCAUAACAAAUGUUAAAUCACCUCACCACGGCUGUAAAAAUGUUCUACAAACAAUAAAUAAUCUAAUCAAUGAGUAUUGAUAUAAAUUUGUAUUGUUUUUAAUUUGGUGUAAAGAUAUUAAUUUUACAUUUAGUUCUUAUUGGUUUUGCAAAUGUGAUACAACUUAUAUACUGUGACAGGGCAAUUUGAAAUGCUGCAUAACGUUGUAUAAAAACCAAAAUAAAAACAAGCUUUAUAUAUUAGCUUAUUUUAUGAAA